GACGAACGCUGGCGGCGUGCUUAACACAUGCAAGUCGAACGGUGAAGCGCCUUCCUUUUUGGUGGGUGUGGAUGAGUGGCGAACGGGUGAGUAACACGUGAGUAACCUGCCCCCUUCUUCUGGAUAACCGCAUGAAAGUGUGGCUAAUACGGGAUAUUCUGGGUCUGUCGCAUGAUGGGUCUGGGAAAGAUAUUGUUUCGGUGGGGGAUGGGCUCGCGGCCUAUUAGCUUGUUGGUGGGGUGAUGGCCUACCAAGGCGGUGACGGGUAGCCGGCCUGAGAGGGUGGACGGUCACACUGGGACUGAGACACGGCCCAGACUCCUACGGGAGGCAGCAGUGGGGAAUAGUGCACAAUGGGCGCAAGCCUGAUGCAGCGACGCCGCGUGAGGGAUGGAGGCCUUCGGGUUGUGAACCUCUUUCGCCAGUGAAGCAGGCCUGCCUCGUUUGUGGGUGGGUUGACGGUAGCUGGAUAAGAAGCGCCGGCUAACUACGUG
rnacentral:rRNA from 1 species